UACGGAGGGUGCGAGCGUUGUCCGGAAUCACUGGGUUUAAAGGGUGCGUAGGCGGCUUAAUAAGUCAUUGGUGAAAGCUCGCAGCUCAACUGCGAAACUGCCAUUGAAACUGUUUAGCUUGAAUGUGGUUGAAGUGGGCGGAAUACAACAUGUAGCGGUGAAAUGCUUAGAUAUGUUUUAGAACACCGAUUGCGAAGGCAGCUCACUAAGCCAAUAUUGACGCUGAGGCACGAAAGCGUGGGUAGCAAACAGG
rnacentral:rRNA from 1 species